CUGACAGAGCAAUUUUCUUCUCAACCUUUUGGAACUAUGAACUCACUCUUAAGGAAGGGGAGUGAGAGGCACAUUAAACCUAAAGACUGAUUUCAGAAAGACAUAACUUUCAGAAGGAUUAUUUUGUCAUUACAAUAUUUAUUACACGAUUUUAAAUAUAACAAAGUUUAAUGAGAAGUUCUUGCUUCUCACUUUACAAAGAGAAAUUAAUGAUCCAUACUGUGAAAAAAACCUAAGGAAGUGAUACUUCUAGUCAGAGCAACCUACAACCGGUGGCCAAGUGUUCAUAGCAACGUCACUUUUUGAUCCUUCAAUGCCGGAUCUUCCUAUCAUCGUAAAGCAGAAUUCACCAAGCGUUGGAUUGUUCACCCGCUAAUAGGGAACGUGGGCUGGGUUUAGACCGUCAUGAGACAGGUUGGUUUUACCCUACUGAUGUUGUGUUGUUGCAAUAGU
rnacentral:ncRNA from 1 species